AUGGCCUGGAGGCGGCUCGCCGCCCGCUCCCGCCGCUGUCCCGUCCCGCCCGCCCCGCGGCCCCCGGCGCCGCGCCCGCCCCCGCCGGCGGGACCCGCCGCGGCCACGCCGCCGCUGCGCCGCCUCCUCCUCCCCCUCUCGCCGCGCCGCUUCGCCGCCGCCGCAGCCUCCUCGCCCGCGCGGCUGUUCCACGCCGCUGCGGUGCGCUGGGGGAGCAGGUCGCUCGCCAGUGAUGCCUCCGCGGCGAGGGAGCCCUCCGCCGAGCUGGUGGAGGUGCCCCUGGCGCAGACGGGGGAGGGGAUCGCCGAGUGCGAGCUGCUGCGCUGGUUCGUCAGCGAGGGCGACCAAGUAGAUGAAUUCCAGCAGCUCUGUGAGGUACAGAGCGACAAAGCAACCAUUGAAAUUACAAGUCGUUUCAAGGGAACGGUACAUCAGAUUCAGUUUGCCCCUGGUGACAUAGUAAAGGUCGGUGAAACUUUACUUAAGAUGAUUGUCAACGACAGUCAAGUUGUACCUCAUGAUAGCCUAGCUUCAUCCCCUGACAUUCCACUUGGAGUGGAUACUUCUACAAGUCCUUCAAGUCAAGGCAAUGCUCCUCGUGGGUCUCUCUCCACACCAGCCGUCAGGCAUCUAGUGAAGCAGUAUGGGCUCAACAUAGAUGAUAUUCAGGGUACAGGAAGAGAUGGUAGAGUUUUGAAAGAAGAUGUGCUGAAUUACGCUGCCAGCAAGGGUCUUCUCCAGGAGCCGCCAUCAGCUAUGGAAGAGAAUGUUGGUAAAGUUGAGUUACCGGAGGGAGGAAAACCACUACUUGAUCCACAGUUUUACGAAGAUAAGAGAAUUCCUCUCAGGGGUUACCAGAGAUCAAUGGUGAAAUCAAUGAGCCUGGCUGCAAAAGUACCACAUUUUCAUUAUCUGGAGGAAAUAAACUGUGAUGCUCUUGUAAAACUUAAGGCAUCAUUUCAGAAGGAGAAUAAAGAUCAUGAUGUGAAGCACACCUUCCUUCCAUUCCUCAUAAAAUCUCUUUCUGUGGCACUGAGUAAAUAUCCUUUGUUGAACAGCUCUUUCAUUGAAGAAGCAAAUGAAGUUACUCUCAAAGGAUCCCACAACAUAGGGGUAGCUAUGGCUACAGCACAGGGAUUAGUGGUACCAAGCAUCAAGAAAGUCCAGUCACUUUCUAUAUUGGAGAUCACGAAGGAAUUGUCAAGAUUACAUGAGAUGGCACUGCAAAACAGACUAAGCACCAACGAUAUCACUGGUGGAACCAUAACACUGAGCAACAUAGGCGCCAUCGGUGGCAAGUUUGGCUCUCCUGUUCUCAACCUGCCCGAAGUAGCGAUCAUUGCGCUCGGCCGCAUUCAGAAGCUCCCUCGCUUUGAUGAUGAAGAAAACGUUUACCCGUCCUCGACAAUCAAUGUGACCGUUGGAGCCGAUCACAGAGUCGUCGACGGUGCCACGGUUGCAAGGUUUUGCAACGAGUGGAAAAGCCUGGUGGAAAAGCCAGAGCUGCUCUUGCUGCACAUGCGAUGA
rnacentral:rRNA from 1 species